rnacentral:rRNA from 1 species
AUACGGAGGAUCCGAGCGUUAUCCGGAUUUAUUGGGUUUAAAGGGAGCAUAGGUGGGAUAUUAAGUCAGCUGUGAAAGUUUGGGGCUCGACCUUAAAAUUGCAGUUGAUACUGGUUUCCUUGAGUACGGUAUAGGUGGGCGGAAUUCGUGGUGUAGCGGUGAAAUGCUUAGAUAUCACGAAGAACUCCGAUCGCGAAGGCAGCUCACCGGGCCGGAACUGACACUGAUGCUCGAAAGUGCGGGUAUCAAACAGGAUUAGAUACCCUGGUAGUCCGCACAGUAAACGAUGAAUACUCGCUGUUUGCGAUACACUGUAAGCGGCCAAGCGAAAGCGUUAAGUAUUCCACCUGGGGAGUACGCCGGCAACGGUGAAACUCAAAUGAAUUGACGGGG